GCCCCGCAGGCCGGUACGGGGCUGACCGCCCUGGCGCGGCGGAUGGACGCGGUCGACGGCGUCCUGGUGGUCGACUCCCCGGCCGGGUCC
rnacentral:tRNA from 3 species